UGUCAAGGGAUGGGAAUCGAACCCACGACCUUCCGCUUACCGGGCAGAUGCCAUGUCCACUAGGCUACCCUGGAC